rnacentral:rRNA from 1 species
UGGUGGAGUGAUUUGUCUGGUUAAUUCCGUUAACGAACGAGACCUCGACCUGCUAAUUAGGUGUUAAGAACCUCACGGUUCUUAUUCACUUCUUAGAGGGACUACUGGUGUUAUAGCCAGUGGAAGUUCGAGGCAAUAACA